UUUUGAAGAGCAGUUGGUCUCUCAGUCUGGAGAAGUGGAAGAGAGAAGCUUGAAUAAGACUUUCUCCUGAGGGUUACCCACCUUUUUCCUGCUUGUGACUGGAAAUCAUCCCCCCCCCCAACACUUCCCAAUUAAAGAGACUCAGAGAAGAGAAACCUGAGAAAAGACAUUUUUAAUCUUUGUCAGACUUUACUUCAGCUCCUGUUGCCCUGGGUCUGACUGUGGUGAAGGGGCCAAACCCAGGGAAGAGACAUGUUAGAAGUAUUAGAAGGAAUUAGUUGUCUGAAGUUCUCCAUAAACCUACCUUGAGAAUUUUUGAAGGGAUUGAAGUGGCCUCGAGCACCAUUUUCAAUAUGAUAUUUACAUCAUGCACAAAGCAUGCUAAAGUUUUGAAGGCAAGGAGAGUUUCAUUUUUGACUUUCUAUCUUCUGCCCAUAGCGGUGUCUGAUUCAUAGAAAAAA
rnacentral:lncRNA from 1 species